rnacentral:misc_RNA from 1 species
UGGGUCCAGAUGAAUGGAUGAG